GGACAGAGUUAGCGUCUCUUCCUCUUGCGGUACCAUCAAGCACCAAGGUUAUUAACCAAGCUACCUUGUUCUCGCAUGACAGGAGUUUACAAUCCGAAGACCUUAUCCUCCACCGCGGCGUCGCUCCAUCAGGGUUGCCCCCAUUGUGAAAGAUUCUCGA
rnacentral:rRNA from 1 species